rnacentral:rRNA from 1 species
UCAAGUAUAAGCAAUCUAUACGGUGAACUGCGAAUGGCUCAUUAAAUCAGUUAUCGUUUAUUUGAUAGUACCUUACUACAUGGAUAACCGUGGUAAUUCUAGAGCUAAUACAUGCUAAAAACCUCGACUUCGGAAGGGGUGUAUUUAUUAGAUAAAAAACCAAUGCCCUUCGGGCUCCUUGGUGAUUCAUGAUAACUUAACGAAUCGCAUGGCCUUGCGCCGGCGAUGGUUCAUUCAAAUUUCUGCCCUAUCAACUUUCGAUGGUAGGAUAGUGGCCUACCAUGGUUUCAACGGGUAACGGGGAAUUAGGGUUCGAUUCCGGAGAGGGAGCCUGAGAAACGGCUACCACAUCCAAGGAAGGCAGCAGGCGCGCAAAUUAGGGAAUCCCGACACGGGGAGGUAGUGACAAUAAAUACUGAUACAGGGCUCUUUUGGGUCUUGUAAUUGGAAUGAGUACAAUUUAAAUCCCUUAACGAGGAACAANNNNNNNGCAAGUCUGGUGCCAGCAGCCNNNNNNNNNNNNNNNCCAAUAGCGUAUAUUAAAGUAAUUGCAGUUAAAAAGCUCGUAGUUGAACCUUGGGCCUGGCUGGCGGUCCGCCUAACCGCGUGUACUGGUCCGGCCGGGCCUUUCCUUCUGGGGAGCCGCAUGCCCUUCACUGGGUGUGUCGGGGAACCAGGACUUUUACUUUGAAAAAAUUAGAGUGUUCAAAGCAGGCCUAUGCUCGAAUACAUUAGCAUGGAAUAAUAGAAUAGGACGUGUGGUUCUAUUUUGUUGGUUUCUAGGACCGCCGUAAUGAUUAAUAGGGAUAGUCGGGGGCAUCAGUAUUCAAUUGUCAGAGGUGAAAUUCUUGGAUUUAUUGAAGACUAACUACUGCGAAAGCAUUUGCCAAGGAUGUUUUCAUUAAUCAGUGAUCGAAAGUUAGGGGAUCGAAGACGAUCAGAUACCGUCGUAGUCUUAACCAUAAACUAUGCCGACUAGGGAUCGGGCGAUGUUAUUAUUUUGACUCGCUCGGCACCUUACGUGA